rnacentral:lncRNA from 1 species
AUGUAUACAAUUCACAAAAGUUUACCACUGACAUUUGGGUCUUUGCCAGUCCUUUUUUGUAGGGUGCUUAGUGUUACAGUGAGCAGCCAAAGCUCACAAAUCAGUACUGUCAACAUUAUUUCAAAUUAUCAAUUUUUAAUUAUGUAUAUAAAUAUAUAUUAUUGUGUUAUAUUAUUAUCAUCAUUAUCAUCAUUAUCAUUAUCAUUAUCAUUCAUAUAUCAUCAUUAUCAUCAUUAUUAUAAUCAUUAUCAUCAUUGUUCUUGUUGUUGUUGUUUCACUUGCACAAACAAAUCUGAGCUCAAGACUAUAACCUUCUUCUGUCACUCCACAUGGGAGUGUUCCAAAAACAAUUGUUCCUUCUGUUGGUGCUUUUUCCUAUUUGCUGUUAACAAAAUCCAUCCUACUCUUCCCAAACCCCCAAAUUCUUUUCCUUUUUCCACAUGCAAUUUUUGGAUUCAUUUUAAGGCUGAUUUCCUAAAAUAUGGAUAUGAUCUGGUAUCCAGCUGAGACAGACAAAGACUCUUUAACUGUUUUAGGAUUAAAAAGUGUAUGUUUAUUCACAGCAUUGGGCCGAUGUGUCAGGUCACCCCUUAAUACACACAGGCCGGAGCACAGGUGAAUACAAGCUUUUUAUUUACAGAAGUAUUGAAUACAAAUACAUAUUCAUGACCCAGUUCCCACCAACUUUUCACUUCCUAUGCUACUUAGGAAAAAAAGCAGUUAAGCAUGCGUAGUUUGAUCCUUGAAAUGGGUCGGUGGUCUUUUUCUGAGGAGGGGUCACAGAAGGGAGGAAGGGAUAUGGCUCUUCCUCGUUCUGCCCUUUCAACCUUUUCAAUGCAAAGUGACAAAUGGACCCUUGGCUGGGCUCCUUGUUUCAUAUCUUCAAUGAGUUUCUGAUUUGCAACUGUCUUAUGUUCUUGAAGUUCUUUACCAGAUACUUUAUUUCUCACUCUAAGCCCAACUGAACAAGCAUAAUGUUGACAAUUAGUUAUUAGCCAAUGAUUAACCUCUAUUUUAGCAAGGCCUCUUGUGGAUGCUAACUGUGAAACAGAGAGCACGGUGCCUGUGGAAAUUGCAGGCCACAUAGCUUUCUCAGUCUUGCCUGAGAAAGUGGCCUGGGAAAUCAUGAGGAGGAAUUAAAACAAUCCUCAGAGACAGAAAACAGCCUUGCAGGUGCUGUUUGUCUGUUCCUUGUUUUCUUGCAAGAGAAGGUCGAGGGGUGGUGUACCCCACUGACCAAUGAUAGUGAUGUGUUAGUUUACUAACCAAUAAGAGUUUCUUUUCUGUACUUUUCACGUAUCGGUCUAUAAAAAAGACCUGAGGUAAUAAACCAGAGAGAAAUUCUCCUGAUCGACUCCCA